rnacentral:lncRNA from 1 species
CUAAAAGCAGUGGCAUAUUUGACCGACAAGACGUGGAUGUUCUGCUAGUCUAUGGAGGAAGAGAAACUGUUUGAAUAUCAAAAAUGAACCCAGCAGUGGACACGUCCCUCAGAAGAGGGCAGACAGUUUGCCGAGGCGGAACGCAGCGACCGUGCUACAAAAUAGUUUAUUUUCAUGAUGUUUCGCGCAGGAUCAGCUAUGAAGAAGCACACCUUGCCUGUAGAGGUGAUGGCGGUCACCUAGUCAGUAUUGAAACAGAAGCAGAGCAAAGACUGAUUGAAAAAUUCAUUGAGAGUCUCUUGGCUUCGGAUGGAGAUUUUUGGAUAGGGCUUAGGAGGAAAAAGGAGGAGGAGAUGGACAAUAGCACAGAGUGUCAGAACCUCUACAGCUGGUCAGAUGGCAGCUUGUCCAAGUUCAGGAACUGGUAUGUAGAUGAGCCAUCCUGUGGGAGUGAAAUCUGUGUUGUGAUGUACCACCAGCCAUCUGCCCCACCGGGUGUUGGAGGUCCUUACAUGUUUCAAUGGAACGAUGACAGAUGCAACAUGAAAAAUAACUUCAUUUGCAAAUAUUCUCUUGAAAAGCAAACGAAUGCUCCAAGAGAGACUUCUCAAACAGACGUUGCAACAGAACCUCUGAAGCCGACGUUCCCAGAAGAACACCGUAAGAACAAUGCUAAUGAAACGAUUAAAGAAGCCAGAGAACCUAUUCUGAGUCUUGCCUACAUCCUUAUUCCCAGCAUUCCUGUGCUGCUGCUUCUGAUGGUCGUUACAGCCAUCUUCUGUUUUUGGCUUUUUGCAAAGAGGCAAGUGACACUGUCUAACAGGUGAACCUGUGGUAUCUUGUGCGAACAGUCAUUUUGCAGCUAGCUUCAGGAUCCUGUAAGAUGCUCUGGAGAAGACUGCUCUCAGCCAAGUGUAAAAACAAAAAAAAAAAAAAAAAGAAAGUUUAGAAAGCAGCACGGAUUUUUCCGUGUAGAGUUAUUGCUGAAGUAAAACGUUAGGCAAUCGCAUUAUGUUGUAUUAUCGUCACGGACGCACAGUAGUUAGGGAGUAGUGUAAAACCAGAUGACUGAUUUGAAGUGUUAGCGUUACAGUUCCCUUACUAAAGAACAGAUUUGUGCAAACCGAAAGAUGAGGAGAUGCCCUUCAAAAAUGAUAAACACAAUUUGCUCCAAAGUUACCACGCUCUUUCUGCUACUGUGCUUUUUCAGUGUCCUCUCCCUUUCCUUGUGUGCAUGGUAGCUUUGGUGGGGAAGGUGGCUGGGGGUGCCUGGGUUGAGCCUUGCUGCCUCAGAACCCCUUGGGGUUCCAGGGUGCCUCCGCCCGGCCCAGGGUGCUGUGGGGCUGCCCAGGGGUGUGGCUUGCUGCCCCGUGCCUGGAACUGCAAGCGAUAGCAAAUGUCCUGCGUCUAGGCUCUCAGUGUCAGCUUUCCUCAAAGAUCAUCUUCAGGUUACUGAGAGAUGUGGUAUNNNNNNNNNNNNNNNNNNNNNNNNNNNNNNNNNNNNNNNNNNNNNNNNNNNNNNNNNNNNNNNNNNNAGAUGCAAGCCCAAAGGAAGAAGAUGCCUGGCUCUCAACCCCUAGGAGGAACAGUCCAGAUCUGGAGGUUUACAAAGUAAUUAAGAAGCAAUCGGAAGCAGAUCUGGCUGGAACUAGGCCUGACAUAAAGAAUUCUUCAUUCCGUACGCGAGAAGAUAAGAUGCUUGAUAGUCUCUCCGGGGAUUAUGACGAUGUGGCAAUGAAUACAUCAAGUGGCUUUGUGACGUUGGCCAGUACAGAAAGUGGCUUUGUGACCAAUGAUAUCUAUGAGCUAUGUGGAGAUCACGUAGGG